AACGCGAAGAACCUUACCUAGGCUAGAAUGUGAGGGAAGAGAGGGUAACUCCGAUCGUCUGGGAAACCAGACCCAAAACAAGGUGCUGCAUGGCUGUCGUCAGCUCGUGUCGUGAGAUGUUGGGUUAAGUCCCGCAACGAGCGCAACCCUUAUCAACAGUUGCCAUCAUUAAGUUGGGAACUCUGUUGAGACUGCCGUUGAUAAAACGGAGGAAGGUGGGGAUGAUGUCAAGUCAUCAUGGCCUUUAUGCUUAGGGCUACACACGUGCUACAAUGGUCGGUACAAAACGUCGCAAUCCCGUAAGGGGGAGCUAAUCGCAAAAACCGAUCUCAGUUCGGAUUGAAGUCUGCAACUCGACUUCAUGAAGUUGGAAUCGCUAGUAAUCGCGGAUCAGAACGCCGCGGUGAAUACGUUCCCGGGUCUUGUACACACCG
rnacentral:rRNA from 1 species